rnacentral:rRNA from 1 species
UACGUAGGGUGCAAGCGUUGUCCGGAAUUAUUGGGCGUAAAGAGCUCGUAGGCGGUUUGUCGCGUCUGCUGUGAAAAUCCAGGGCUUAACCCUGGACCUGCAGUGGGUACGGGCAGACUAGAGUGCGGUAGGGGAGAUCGGAAUUCCUGGUGUAGCGGUGAAAUGCGUAGAUAUCUGCAGGAACACCCGUGGCGAAGGCGGCUGGCUGGACCGCAACUGACGCUGAGGAACGAAAGCUAGGGAGCAAACAGG